rnacentral:rRNA from 1 species
AUGCAGUCGAGCGGCAGCGGGAAAGUAGCUUGCUACUUUUGCCGGCGAGCGGCGGACGGGUGAGUAAUGCCUGGGGAUCUGCCCAGUCGAGGGGGAUAACAGUUGGAAACGACUGCUAAUACCGCAUACGCCCUACGGGGGAAAGGAGGGGACCUUCGGGCCUUUCGCGAUUGGAUGAACCCAGGUGGGAUUAGCUAGUUGGUGGGGUAAUGGCUCACCAAGGCGACGAUCCCUAGCUGGUCUGAGAGGAUGAUCAGCCACACUGGAACUGAGACACGGUCCAGACUCCUACGGGAGGCAGCAGUGGGGAAUAUUGCACAAUGGGGGAAACCCUGAUGCAGCCAUGCCGCGUGUGUGAAGAAGGCCUUCGGGUUGUAAAGCACUUUCAGCGAGGAGGAAAGGUUGGCGCCUAAUACGUGUCAACUGUGACGUUACUCGCAGAAGAAGCACCGGCUAACUCCGUGCCAGCGGCCGCGGUAAUACGGAGGGUGCAAGCGUUAAUCGGAAUUACUGGGCGUAAAGCGCACGCAGGCGGUUGGAUAAGUUAGAUGUGAAAGCCCCGGGCUCAACCUGGGAAUUGCAUUUAAAACUGUCCAGCUAGAGUCUUGUAG